CUGCUGUUUGGUGGUGUCCCUGGCUACCUUUCCUUAAGACAAUGUCAAAUUUCUGUGUGAAGCAGAAACACAAACUUCUCUAGUGACCUCAUUACAUGUUCAAGCCCAACAAUCAGAUCAUUGGACUGAUGAACACAGCCCAUGGAAGUUCUGUGUUUAUUCAUUAAAGCCAUGCAGCUCAACACAGAGAGGAAGGCUACCAGAUUCCUAUUCUGAAAUCACUGCCCUGUGUGGCCUGUCUAGAAGCACAAGUCGUAAAGAGUUCUAUAAAGCAAGUUUCUAUACCAAGAAUGAUGAAGAGUGUAUCUAGCGUAGGACGUUCUGGAAUACUUUAGGUGUCCUGUGUUCAUACCUCAGAUAUCUUUGCUGAUUGUUUCUCUUCAUCUGGUGAUUGUUGUCUUCAUUCUUUAUUUGGGGGUAGUGCUUGGGAAAUUUGGGGUAGGUAGUGGAGGUGAUGGAAUGUCAUGAAAAAAAUGUUCACACCUGUUAGACCACAGCUGAACAUCUUUCUUUAAAAACUAAAUAAAUAAAAGGAAAUAAACAUAUUUUAAGAAAUCAGGUGGCAUGUAGCCUUACCUGUUCUAUUUCUUGAUGCUUACAAGGAGAUAUAAGCCAGGCCAAGAGAAGGCUGCUGGUACCUCCAGCAAAUGGCCUUGCUCUGUGCUCUCUGACCCCAGGACUCCAGUGAGCACACCACCAAAGAACACUUUGCUCCUGGCUUGCAGCAGCUUGUUUCUGGGGUACAGUGCCAGCCACUAUUAGAAAAAAAUGGGGUUUCAUUGUUUGUCUAUUUAAAGUUGAACCUGGUAUGGAGUGCUGCUCUUCACCUCCACCUCCCAGUUAGAGUGGCCUAAAAGUAAAGAGAUAAACUUGACACAAUAACCAUGGUUUUACCGAGUAGUAUGGAAACUUGGCAUCUAUAAGGCUGGCAUUCCUGGUACUGUAUAAUCAUCAAGUGUACCUAAACUGUAGUAAUUUAAAGUGAGCAAACAUGUAAGCUCAGAUUUACAAAACUAUGGAGUCAAAAAAUGUCCCUAAAGAUUCAGAUUUUUAUUUAUUUUCCUUUGGCCUAUGAUGGAUUUAUAGAUAAAUGUAAUGGAAAGUUUUUUUUAUCUUAAUAAAGUAUCUUCACACAAUAUAUCUGCUUGAAAGUUGUUUAGCCCUUGAAUACACUAAAA
rnacentral:lncRNA from 1 species